GACCCUAGAAAGUCCCCUAAACACAAAGGUUUGGUCCUAGCCUUGAAAUCAAUUUUUACUUAAUAUACACAUGCAAGUCUCCGCACCCCUGUGAAAACGCCCUUAAAACCCCUAUAGGGAACAGGAGCCGGUAUCAGGCACAAAUUAUGCCCAAGACACCUAGCUAUGCCACACCCACAAGGGAUCUCAGCAGUGAUUAACAUUGAACAUAAGCGACAGCUUGAUUCAGUCACAGUAUAUAGAGCCGGCAAAUCUGGUGCCAGCCGCCGCGGUUACACCACGUGGCUCAAAUUGACUCCUAUCGGCGUAAAGCGUGAUUAAAGCCACUCCAUGUACUAGAGUUAAACUAAAACUAAGCCGUGACACGCUUGUUACCUAAGAAACCCAGAAACGAAAGUUACUCCACCCAUAUCUCUUGAACUCACGACAGCUAGAACACAAACUGGGAUUAGAUACCCCACUAUGUCUAGCCGUAAACUUUAAAUUACAUAUUCAUCGCCCGGGAACUACGAGCAAAGCUUAAAACCCAAGGGACUUGACGGUACCCCACAUCCCCCUAGAGGAGCCUGUCCUAUAAUCGAUAACCCCCGUUCAACCUCACCAUUUUUAGUUAAUCAGCCUGUAUACCUCCGUCGUCAGCUUACCACGUGAGCGAACCAUAGUGAGCCUAAUGACACUUCACCAACACGUCAGGUCAAGGUGCAGCAAAUAAAAUGGAAAGAGAUGGGCUACACUUUCUAAAAUAGAAAACACGAAAGACUACUUAUGAAACCUAGUCAGAAGGCGGAUUUAGCAGUAAAAAGAAACCAGAGUAUUCUUUUUAACCCGGCACUGGGGUGUGUACACACCGCCCGUCACCCUCCUCAAAGCUUAAAAACAGUAUCUAACCAUCUGACGCACUACAGAAGAGGCAAGUCGUAACAUGGUAAGUAUACCGGAAGGUGUGCUUGGAUCAA
rnacentral:ncRNA from 1 species